rnacentral:misc_RNA from 1 species
AAAAAUAAUAAUAUUAAUUAAAAUUUUAAAAAACAUUAAAUAUACGAUUUUUGAAUAUUUUAAAAAAUAACGGUUAAAAUUCGAAAAUUUCGUUUCGUGUGCCUUAAUCGCCGCCAUAGCCUUAAAACCUACACACACACACAAUCGCUUGCCAAGAUUGUGCCGUUACGUUUAACGUGUUUUAUUGUCCAAGUUUUAUACGUCGUUUUUUCUCGUCAUAUUCGUCGCGUUUUUAAAACCAUCGCUUAUUGUUGUGUCAUUAAACUACUUUUUACCGCAAAUGUAUACGUUUUAAAAGCUAUUGCUGUUGUAAUUUUAAAAAACUGUAAUUGUUAAGCAUCGUUUGUUGUCGUUACUGCGUUCGGAGAUUUUAGUUUUGUCGGUUCGUUUAAUUUCGAAAAUAAUAAAUUUGUUAUACGAAAAAUCAACGUUACGACGUACAUCCGUACGUGCAACGUAACGUUGUUGGUGUCACAUCACAACGUGCCUCAUACAGUUGUCGGCGAUUCGGUCGCGUUGAACGGCCCAGCGCAGCCAAUGCCGUGGGCCAUACGUUCACCACGAAUCGUACGAUCGAGCUGCUGUAAACGAUUUAUAAAAUCUUCACACAAUUGCCUUGCGUUUUGCCCGAUGUGCCUUCACGUUUUUAAAAGUAACAACGAAAACUCAGCAAUGAGUUUCAACUGUCCAAAAAUGCCUUUUAAAACUAAGUCUAUAAUUUUAUUAUCGAAAAACGCAAAAAUCAACAAAAUCGACAAUAAGAACAACAAAGUUAGUCGAUAUCUGCAACACAACCACAAGCAGCGAAGAAAAAGCGACCUCAAAACGUACAACGACAAGUGCCAAAAUGUCAACACUAUCGUUACGUAUACAGUUAGAGGGUGGCCGUGUCACAAAGACCAUACAAUUCCAUCCCAAUACGACAGUAUUUGAUGCCUGUAAAAUUAUACGGGAUAAGUUUGCCGAAGCUGUGCAGGGACAACCCAGCGAAUAUGGUCUAUUUAUAUCGGAUGAGCAACAUCAACAGGGCGUUUGGCUGGAAGCCGGCCGUACACUCGGCUAUUAUAUACUCCACAAUCAGGACACGCUGGAAUAUCGACGUAAGCUACGUACGUUGCGUGUGCGUAUGUUGGACGGUGCCGUGAAGACCAUACUUGUCGAUGACUCGCAACCGGUGUCGCAAUUAAUGGUGGUCAUUUGCACGAAAAUUGGCAUCACCAAUCAUGAGGAGUAUGGACUGGUGCGCGAGGAUAACGAGGCGCAGAAUGAGAGCCUGCCGGAUAAUAAGUUUGGCACGUUGACGUUGCGUCGGAAAUUCACCGAAAAGGAUCGUGAUGCGAAGAUGGAAAGUUUGCGCCGGAAGCUGAAAACCGAUGAUGAAAUCAAUUGGGUGGAUGUCGGUAAGACGUUGCGCGAACAAGGCAUUGAUGAGUCGGAAACGGUUUUGUUGCGUCGUCGCUUCUUCUUCUCGGAUCAAAAUAUUGACUCACGUGAUCCGGUGCAAUUGAAUUUGUUGUACGUGCAGGCGCGUGACGCCAUACUCGAUGGCACACAUCCCGUUACACAGGAUAAAGCUUGUGAAUUCGCUGGCAUACAAGUGCACAUACAAUUCGGCCCACACAACGAAGCCAAGCAUAAGCCCGGAUUUUUAGAUUUAAAGGAUUUCCUGCCGCAAUCCUACGUACGUGUGAAGAACAUUGAAAAGAAAAUAUUUGCGGAGCAUAAGAAACACGCCGCUCUGACGGAAAUCGACGCCAAAGUCUUGUAUACGAAGACGGCACGUGAGCUGCCUACCUACGGUGUGACAUUCUUCUUGGUGAAGGAGAAGAUGAACGGACGCAAUAAGUUGGUGCCACGCUUGUUGGGCGUGACCAAAGAUUCCGUAUUGCGUUUGGAUGAACGCACCAAGGAAAUUUUAGUAUCGUGGCCAUUGACGACGGUACGUCGUUGGGGCGCCUCACCGAACACCUUCACAUUGGAUUUCGGUGAUUAUGCCAAUCAAUAUUACUCGGUGCAAACAACCGAGGCUGAGCAAAUUGUACAGCUAAUCGCUGGUUAUAUUGAUAUUAUAUUGAAGAAGAAACAAACCAAAGAUCAUUUUGGUAUCGAGGGAGAUGAGGGCUCCACCAUGGUGGAGGAGUCAGUUGCGCCCUCAAAAGCAACAUUCUUGCAACAUGAAACAAAUAAAAUUGGUAAAAUCAAUACCGAGUCGCUGGCACAUCCCGAAAUACUGCGUGCAUCCGAUGGCGAGCGCAAGUACACGCAAGGCGAAAUGCAGUCGGUGCAAUAUGGCGCCUACGUGGGGCAAGUUAACCACGCCCAUCAACCGCCAACGACGAAGGAGGUACGCAUAAGCACUGUGAACCUAACCGAACCGCAACGCGCGCUACUCGGCUACAUCUCGGCGGGUCAAGAUGUCUUGCUGCGUGCCGAUGAGGAGCUUAGAACGAAGGCGCCCAUACAGGAGCUCGGCACCGACUUGCGUUCGAUCGAAUGGCGUGAGAACACUUUGGACACUUCAAAACAGGCCGUGACCAGUCAUGUGGCCACCAUGAAUGCGGCUACCGCACAAAUCAUAACCGCCUCACAGUUUGAUGAGGUCGAUACGGAGGCCAUCUCCGCGUCCGUUUCACAAAUAACACAAACCAUACCGGAAGUAACAAAGGAGGUGCGUCUAAUUGCCGCGCUCAUGGAGGAUAGCAACAAUGGUGAUCGUUUGUUGGAUGCCGCGCGUAAUUUAUGUAAUGCGUUUAGCGAUUUGUUGAAGGCCGCCGAGCCGGAGAGCAAAGAACCUUCACAGAAUCUAAUCAAUGCCGCUAGUCGUGUGGGUGAAGCGACUACGCAUGUGCUCAGCACCAUUGCUGAAGAGGAAGCGCCUGAAAAUAGUGAUUUGCAUGAUAUGCUCUUGACUUUGGCCAAGGCCGUGGCGAAUACCACAGCCGCUUUAAUGUUGCGCGCCAAGGCGAUUGCGGCCAGCUGCGAGGAUGAGGAGUCACGCAAUCGCGUUAUUGGCGCGGCCAGUCAAUGCGCUUUGGCUACGAGUCAGCUGGUGGCUUGCGCUAAGGUUGUCGCGCCAACGUUGCAUAAUGCCGCUUGUCGUGAGCAAUUGGAGGCGGCGGCGCGUAAUGUGGCGCGGGCUGUUAACAACUUGUGCGAGGUGUGCAAUGAUGCCACCAACGAUCCGAAACUGAAGAAUGAUCUGCUCGCCGCUGCACGUGAUGUGUCGAAGAGUUUGAGUGACAUGUUGGAUCAUGUGAAGUUGAGUUCGCGCGAAUAUGCUAGUCGCACCAGCCAAGAGAUGAGUCCGGUGGAGAAUGUUAUUAUCGGCACGGAUAUACUGGUGGCUUCCAACGAUCCACAAGAAAUGGUACGUCACGCUAAAACGCUCGGUCAAGCGACCGCACAAUUGAUACAGAGCAUUAAGGGUGAGGCGGAUCAACAGAAGGAUGAGGAUAUGCAACGUCGUUUGCUUUCAGCCGCCAAGCAACUGGCCGAUGCUACAGCAAAACUCGUCGAAGCGGCGCGCCUUUGCUCUGGUAAUCCACAAAACACCGAAAAUCAAAAUGCUUUGCGUCGGGCGGCCGAAGAGUUGCGUGAAAUCACCACCACCACUGCAAAUACGCCAGCCAUGAAACGUAAUCUAAUUCAUCGUCUCGAGUACUGCUCUAAACAAGCUGCCUCGGCGGCUACCCAAUGCAUUUCGGCAGCACAGAAUGCCGUGCAGCAUAGUGAUGACCAUCAAACUAAGGAGCAAUUGUUGCAAGACUGCAAACGCGCAGCCGACACAAUACCACGUCUGGUGACCUCGGUGAAGACCACACGUUCCAGUCCAGACGAUCCCAAUGCCCAACUAAAUCUAAUCGAAGCCGCUGAGCAAUUUAUCGAACCAGCCAUACAGGUAUCGCGUUCCGCACGCGCGCUACAACCCACCGUCACCGAUAUACCCUCAGCGACACAGCUCUCGAAGAGCGCACUUUAUCUGGGUCAAACCGUGUCCGAAUUGAAUUCGGCCGCUCAACGUUCACGUGAAGCAUGCGGCGGUCAAGAAUUGGAAUCUGCUUUGGAGGCGGUGCGCAAUCUGCACAACGUGCUGGACGACACACGUAAGGCGGCGCAAUCGGGCAGCAUUCGCCCAUUACCUGGCGAGACGGUCGAAAACACCGCACAACAGCUGCGCAUCUCUGCCAAAAAUGUGGGUCUGGCGCUCAGACAGUUGCUCUCAUCGGUUAUACAAGAACAACGUCGUUACGCCGGUGUGGCCGGACGUGAUACCGCUUUAGCGCUCGGUGAUUUCACAAAGAGCGUACAUGGCGUCGCGGCCACAACGAAGAACCCGGUUGUCAUAGACUGCGCUGACGAUGUGGUAUUGCACUCGGCGCGCCUGAUCGAAGAAGCGCAACGCACACUGCAAAAUGUCGGCAACACCGAUGCGCUAACCAAAGCGGGACGUGAUGUGACCGCUGCACUUUCGAAGACCGUCGAUUGCAUACCUGGUCAACGUGAAGUGGAUAACGCGUUGCGUAAUGUGAGCGAAUUAAGUGAAAUACUCUCGAUGAGUGAAUUCCCACCGUCGGAACGUAACUACAACACAUUGCAGUCGGAGUUGAAACAGGUCGCCGAGGGUCUCAGUGCGGCUAGCGGUCAAAUAGUACAGGCGUACGAUAGUCCCGCGCAAUUAGCCGAUACUAGCCAAAACUUUGCCACCAACUAUCGCGAUCUGCUCGCUGUUUCAAUGGAGAUGGUCGGCCAAACGCCCGAUGAGGUCGUACGCUCCGAAAUGAUCGACCGUUUGCGCAAUGUCUCCACGCAAUCUUGUUCAUUAUUAUCUGCCGCCAAGUCCAUUGCCGCCGAUCCAGGUCAACCAAAUGCCAAGAAUCUAUUGCAUGCUGCAGCUCGGAGCGUCAUCGAAAGCAUAAACAAACUCGUCGACGCCAGCAUACAAUCGGCGCCGGGACAAAAGGAGUGCGACAAUGCCAUACGCAACAUUGAGGGUCUGCGCGUAAUGCUGGACUAUCCACAUGAGCCCAUCAACGAACAAGGCUACUUCGAAUGUGUCGAGAAUGCGACCGGCAAGUCACGCAAUUUGGGUUACGCCAUUUCCGAGAUGAUUAACAAUGCAAAACAAUCGAAUCACGUUGGUUUUGGUCAGUCAGUGAACACCGUGGGCGAAUCCAUACACAGCUUGAUCGAGUCAUCUGCACAGGCCGCCUAUUUAAUUGGUGUAUCGCAUCCGAGUAGCGUCGCCGGACGUCCGGGCAUCAUUGAUCAGGCUCAACUGAGCUGGGCUUAUCAGGGCAUUCGUCAGCAUUGCGAGAUUGUGAGCAGCGCCAAAGCCACGAAGCAACAAAAGAUAUCGGCGCUAACGGUAAUCGCCAAGCAUACCAGCUAUUUAUGCUCCAUCUGUCGACAGGCCAGCAUGAACACCAACAAUCCGGUGGCAAAGAAUGAAUUCAUUGUGUUGGCUAAACAAGUUGCCACAGCCACCUCGAACUUGGUACAGGAGAUAAAGAGUAUUGAGGACGAGCCAUCCACACCAACGCGCGCACGCCUCGUAGAACCGCUAUUGGAGUCUGUGAAAGCGGUACGUCAAUAUGCUUCCAGUCCGGAAUUUAUUUCGGUGCCAGCAAAGAUUUCCGCCGAAGGUCGCAAGGCACAAGAACCGGUUAUCAAUGCUGGACGCGGUGUUAUUGACGGCGUGAUCGAAAUGGUGAAAGCCGCAAAAUCAUUGGCGCUCUCACCGGAUGAUCCACCAGUGUGGCAACAACUUUCCAAUGCCUCAGCGCCCGUCUCCGAAUCCGUGAAACGCCUGGUAGAUAACAUACGCGAGAAAGCGCCGGGUCAGGCGCAAUGCGAACAGGUGUUGCAAACGCUGAACACGUGCACGCGUGAAUUGGAUAGCUGCGCCAUGGCUGUGAGCGCGCAGGGUUUGAGUCAACGCCGCGAUAACAAUUUGCAUGGCUUCAGCGGUCAAACCUUAAAUUCCGCCGCUGAGUUAAUUGACAAGCUCGAACCCAUACGCAUGGCGGGCAAGAAUAAUGCCGAGCAAUUGGGACAUGCUGUCGGCGAGAUUUCACGCUACAUUGUGCCCAUGGUGAAUGGCGCCAUCGGCGCUUGCACGCACAUCGUUCACACCAACCAACAAAUGAGUUUGAUCAAUCAAACGAAAUCGGUGGUGGAGAGCGCUGUCACACUAGUGCAAGCCGCUAAAGAUUCGGCCGGCAAUCCACGUUCCACACAUGCGCACACACACUUGGACGAGUCGAUCGAUUACACGCGUCAAGCGAUACAAGAGCUUACGGAAACGGUUGAAAAGAUCAACGCGGACAUGGGUGUCGUAACGGGUCUGAUGGAGCAAGUGAAUCGUGCCAUUACACGUUUGACCGACAAACGUCAAUCGUUGCUUAAUGCCUCCUACUCCGACUCAUUCGUUGACUAUCAAACACGCAUGGUGCAAUCGGCUAAGGAAAUUGCGCGUCUAGCAAAUGACAUGAACGCCAAGGCAACCAUCGAACCGCAACUACUGCCGCAAAUUGCCUUAGAAAUGACACAGCAUUACACGCAGUUGACACAGGAUUCGGUGGGCGCAUCCACUACCACAUCCACACCGGAUGUAGCUAUGCGCAUACGUUCGAGUGUGGUGGAUUUGGGUCGUUCGGUCAGCUCUAUGAUACAAUCCGGCGCAACUGGCGCACGUCCCAACGACGUGUCGAGUCAAGGCGAAAUCGCACGCAAUGCACGUGACGUCUCCGAAAAAGUUGCACAGGUUUUGGCUGCGCUACAGGCCGGUUCACGCGGCACCCAAGCUUGCAUUAAUGCUGCGCACACCGUGUCCGGCAUAAUUGGCGAUCUCGAUACGACCAUCAUGUUUGCCACUGCCGGUACUUUGCAUUCGGACGGCGAUGGUUCAUUCGCCGAUCAUCGCGAACAUAUUCUACAAACCGCCAAGGCUUUGGUGGAGGACACAAAAGUACUGGUCACAGGCGCUGCAGGCACACAAGAGGAACUGGCGAACGCCGCACAGAACGCCGUCUCAACUAUAUUACAACUUUCGGAAGCUGUUAAGCGUGGCGCUUGUAGUCUAGGCUCUACACAGCCGGAUUCGCAAGUUAUGGUUAUCAAUGCUGUUAAGGACGUCGCUUCGGCCUUGGGUGAUCUGAUUAAUGCCACCAAAUUGGCCUCAGGCAAACCCAUACACGAUCCAUCGAUGCAAGAUUUGAAGGAGAGCGCUAGGGUAAGUAGUGUUAAAUGUAUCUUCAUUACUGAAGACUGUCAAAGCUGUUGAAGACGAGCACACACGAGGCACGCGCGCCAUGGAGUCCACUGUCGAGGCCAUUUCACAGGAAAUACGCGCCAUUCACUCACCACCACCACCCGGCAGCGCCCAAUGCGGUCCUGAAGAUUUGAUACGCGUCACCAAGAAUGUGACACUGGCCACGGCAAAGGCCGUCGCCGCCGGUGCUUCCAAUUUACAGACCGACAUCGUCGCAGCCGCCAAUUUGGGGCGACGCGCCAUAUCCGAAAUGCUACUAAUUUGCCGUUCGGUUGCAUGGAAUUGUGCCGAGACGGAAGAUUUGCGUCAACGCACACUCGAAGCUGGUGCCUCUGUCGGCGAGUCCUAUCGUGAACUCUUGAAUGGCAUACUACACAAUUGUUCAGCCGAUGAUCGUGUACAUCUGUCGCGUCGUGUGGCGAAGAGCGUUACCGAUCUGGUGGCUAUGGCGCGCCUACUAAAGGGUUCGGAUUGGAUUGAUCCCGAAGAUCCGACAGUGAUUGCUGAAAACG